CUAAGAAUAUUCCGCAAUGGACGAAAGUCUGACGGAGCGACGCCGCGUGGAUGAUGAAGGCCGGAAGGUUGUAAAAUCCUUUUAUGACUGAGGAAUAAGUGAAGUGAGGGAAACGCUUCAUGGUGACUGUAGGUCAUGAAUAAGGACCGGCUAAUUCCGUGCCAGCAGCCGCGGUAAUACGGAAGGUCCGGGCGUUAUCCGGAUUUAUUGGGUUUAAAGGGAGCGCAGGCGGUCUUAUAAGCGUGACGUGAAAUGCAGCGGCUCAACCGUAUGAUGUGCGUCGCGAACUGUGAGACUUGAGUGUAUUCGAUGUCAGCGGAAUUUGUGGUGUAGCGGUGAAAUGCUUAGAUAUCACGAAGAACUCCGAUUGCGAAGCAGCUGACAAGGCUAC
rnacentral:rRNA from 1 species